rnacentral:rRNA from 1 species
AACUCUAAGAAGACUGCCGGUGAUAAACCCGGAGGAAGGUGGGGAUGACGUCAAGUCAGCAUGCCCUUACGUCCUGGGCGACACACGUACUACAAUGGGUAAGACAAAGGGUAGCCAAGUCGCGAGGCCGAGCCAAUCCCAUAAACUUAUCCUCAGUUCAGAUUGCAGGCUGCAACUCGCCUGCAUGAAGGAGGAAUCGCUAGUAAUCGCAGGUCAGCAUACUGCGGUGAAUCCGUUCCCGGGCCUU